rnacentral:lncRNA from 1 species
AUCCCACCGAGGCCACCAUAGACCAGCCAGCCCUCAGCGUACAUGCCAGCUAAUUACAGAUGCAGGAGCAAACCCCUGGCCCAUACAUCAAUUUUAAUGUCAUUGAAUACAGAGAACAAAUCUCAUUCACUUUGGUAUCGGCUGGAGUCAACAAACAUUUAAAAAUCAUUUACUGCGUCUGAUUUUGGGUAUGUUGAAUUGGUGACGUCUGAGUUGCUUCUGGUCUAUCCUGAUAGAAACAUACAGUAAACAGAGAAAAAAAAGGAUCUCAGGUGAGAUGAUGUAUGGGAAUGCUCAGCAUACAGAAUGAAUGGAUAAGAGGCCUGAAAACAUAAUCCUGUAAACAACCAUAUUGAAAGAGAAGACAGAAGACAUCAAACAGAUUUUGAGUCUUGCUCUAUGGCCCAGACUGGAGUGCAGUGGCGUGAUCUCAGCUCACUUCAACCUCCACCUCCCGGGUUCGAGAGAGAUUCUCCUGCCUCAUCCUCCCGAGUAGCUGGGAUCACCGGCGCCCACAACCACACCCGGCUAAUUUUUGUACUUUUAGUGGAGACAGGGUUUCACCAUGUUGGCUAGGCUGGUCACAAACUCCCGACCUCAGGUUAUCCAUCUGCCUUGGCCUCCCAAAGUGCUGGGAUUACAGGCGUGAGCCCCCGCACCUGGCCAAGAUCAGCUAGAUUUUGGAAGCAUUGCCUUCUACAGAAUCCACAGUAGUCCGAAGCUCUUCUACGGUUUUU